AUUUUAUUAUUAUGUCCAUUUGUCUUGUGGAAUCCUAAAUACGUAUUUCACGAAACUCACCUUGGGGAAACCCUGGGCUAAGCUAUAUUUACAUGUAAAUUAUGUUUGAUACCAAACAUGCCUAUUGUUUUUAUUUUCUUCAUCAUAACACUCCAUAACAGUUUAUCAACGUAUUCUAGCUUGCUAAUUAAAAUAACGGUCGGUUUGAGUGACGAGCGAAAGAUCUCUGUUAUUUUAACAGGUCUGUCAGACUGGAUAAAUAUUUUACAUAAUUUCCAAAGGUCUUGUCUGGAAAGGUUGUCUUGUAUAUAUUGUAGACAAACAAAACAUAUAUAACAUCUCACUACUUGAUAUCUGGCAAACGUUGAUGCGUAUAAAAAAUUAAUAGGCCAAAUCUAUCUGGAAAUUAGUUAAAUUAAAUGUUAAACGUUUCAAAAUCUGUUUAUGUUAAAAUAAAAAAUAAAUUUUAG
rnacentral:lncRNA from 1 species